UUCCGGUUGAUCCUGCCGGAGACGACCGUUAUCAGGGUUCGACUAAGCCAUGCGUGGCGCGAGCUAUUUGGGCUCGCCAUACUGCUGAGUAACACGUAGUUAACCUGCCCUAAGGAGGGGGAUAAUCUCGCGAAAGUGAGGCUAAUACCCCAUAGUUCAUGGAUACUGGAACGUUCCAUAAACGAAACCCACGGGGCCUUAGGAUGGGACUGCGGCGUAUCAGGUAGUCGUCAGGGUAAAAACCUGACGAGCCGAUAACGCGUAGGGGCCAUGAGAGUGGAAGCCUCCAGAUGCCUUCUGAGACAUGAAGGCAGGGCCUACGGGUCGCAGCAGGCGCGAAAACUUUCCAAUGCAUUAGCGUGUGAGAGGGGAACCUUGAGUGGUGCAGCUAAGCUGCACCUUUUGCCAAGUCUAGACAGCUUGGCGAAUAAGAGGUGGGUAAGACGGGUGCCAGCCGCCGCGGUAAUACCCGCGCCUCGAAUGGUCGUCACGUUUAUUGGGUCUAGAGCGUCCGUAGCCGGCUGUGCAAGUCCUUGGUGAAAUCUGGCAGCAAACUGUCAGGCGUGCUGAGGAUACUACACGGCUUGGGAUUGGGAAAGGGCUGAGGUAUUCGGCGUGUAGGGGUUAAAUCCUUUAAUCCGCCGAGGACCACCUGUGGCGAAGGCGUCAGCCUGGAACAAGUCCGACGGUGAGGGACGAAAGCUAGGGGAGCGAUUGGGAUUAGAUACCCCAGUAGUCCUAGCUGUAAACGAUGCCCGUUUGGUGUGGCGUGUCUUACGAGGAUACGCCGUGCCGGAGCGUAGGUGUUAAACGGGCCACCUGGGGAGUACGGUCGCAAGACUGAAACUUAAGGGAAUUGGCGGGGGAGCACACAAGGGGUGGAGGCUGCGGUUCAAUUGGAUUUGACGCCGGACAUCUUACCAGCGCAGACAGCAGUAUGAAGGUCAGCCUGACGGGUUUACCAGACAAGCUGAGAGGAGUUGCAUGGCCAUCGUCAGCUCGUACCUUGAGGCGUGCGGUUAAGUCCGUUAACGAGCGAGACCCACGCUGCCAGUUGCAACCACGUCCCGACUAAGCAAUUAGAAGGUAUGUGGGCACUCUGGCAGGACCGCCUCUGCUAAAGAGGAGGAAGGAGUGGGCGACGAUAGGUCCGUAUGGCCCGAUUGCGCUGGGCUACACGCCGCCUACAAUGCGUAGGACAAUGCGAUGCAACGCCGAAAGGCGAAGCUAAUCGCCCAAACCUACGCCCAGUUCAGAUCGGGGGCUGAAACUCGCCCCCGUGAAGCCGGAAUCCCUAGUAAGCGAACGUCACUAUCGUUCGCUGAAUACGUCCCUGC
rnacentral:rRNA from 1 species